CAUAUAUUCCCUCAGUCUGGAAAUACUUGUCUACGAAAUGAAUGUAUCUAGACAUAUUUUAGUUUUACAUACAUAUCUUUUUAUCCAUUUGUGAGACAAGUAAUUCCGGACGGAGGGAGAUAAUUA
rnacentral:pre_miRNA from 1 species